UUUCGCUACCAGCGGCCGGUGUGGGCGGACGUGCAGCUCCCGGCGCGGUGGAAGUUUCUGGAAGGAAUUUCGACUACAAAUCGUAUAAGUGUUUGUCCGCGGUGUCUGGGCGGUCUCCCGGCCCGUCGGCUGCAUUGUUGACCCGAGAUUCCGGUCCAUCGUCUGAAGAAGAGCGCCCCUGAAGAAAAGGUGGCGCACUGGACGGGUGCGGUAGUCGGCAGGAGGGAGUGUGGUGCCGCUAUACAGCUGCCAGUCCACCAGCCACAGUUCUGUCCAUCAGACUCAUACCUGGACACAG